rnacentral:rRNA from 1 species
UAUUCCUACGGGACGCAGCAGUCGAGAAUCAUUCACAAUGGGGGAAACCAUGAUGGUGCGACGCCGCGUGGGGGAAGGAAGGUCUUCGGAUUGUAAACCCCUGUCAUGUGGAAGCAAAUUAAAAAGAUAGUACCACAAGAGGAAGAGACGGCUAACUCUGUGCCAGCAGCCGCGGUAAUACAGAGGUCUCAAGCGUUGUUCGGAAUCACUGGGCGUAAAGCGUGCGUAGGCUGUUUCGUAAGUCGUGUGUGAAAUGCGCGGG